CUCCCGCCGGCGACCGGCGCACGGGUGAGUAACACGUAUGAAACCUGCCCGUAGCAGGGGGAUAAGCGGAAGAAAUUCCGUCUAAUACCGCGUAACAACCCAUGGAGGCAUCUCUGUGGGUUUAAAGGAAGCGAUUCCGGCUACGGAUGGUCAUGCGUCGCAUUAGCUUGUUGGCGGGGUAACGGCCCACCAAGGCGACGAUGCGUAGGGGUUCUGAGAGGAAGGUCCCCCACACUGGUACUGAGACACGGACCAAACUCCUACGGAAGGCAGCAG
rnacentral:rRNA from 1 species